GCACUUUGUGCCGUGCCAUAAGAAAAAAAAAAAACUUACACUGUGUAAUUGGUGUUGUUUUGAUAAAUCUUAAUGUGAAAUUUUAUGCAGUCCUUUUUGUUAUUUUUAAAAUUAUAAGAAGUGGUGGGUCAGAAUGGUGGUAGUACAUCGGUAAUAUAAAAUUUGGAUUCUGUAUAAUUAUUACUUAUGAGUUUUUGUUUACUUUAUAUUUGUGUGUUUACGUGCCGAUUGCCAACGAGUCUUUACUGACGUUCAUGAAUCAAAAUAUUUCACAAAAUGGCGGACAGCCGCCGUCAAGAAUGACUCUUAAUGUGUCAAAUGAUUCAAAUGAAAUCUUGAAUUUGAAUAUAAUUUGUCGAGAUUAUGUUUGGGGUAGAUGUCAUAAAUAUUCACAAUGCAAAUACAGGCAUGAAUGUAGUGUGGAGGAAAUGAAAACAAUAAUACAAUUUUGCCACGAUUUCCAAAAUCCUACUGGGUGCACUCGACCUAAUUGUACAUACUUACACACGACUAGCAAAGAAGAAGAAAUUUUUUUAACUACUGGCCAGAUGCCCAAAGUAUUAGCGGAGCGUCAUUUGGCUAUCAACGCUGCUGCUAAGAUAAUGUAUAGUAAAAAUAAUGCCAAAGACAUGUUUGCCAAAAAACAUGCAACUCCUUAUAUGCCUCCUAAUGCGCCUGUGACGAAUACGCGUCCACUUCAUCCACCACCGUCACAAAUGGAAAUAAAUGGACAGUUUAUGCCCAUGAUAAAUUCGGCAGUACCACCAUCAAUACCACCACCGCCACCACCGCCUCCACCGUCAGAGGUAUCACCCUCUACAUAUACUGGAGCCCCACCUCCACGUGCAGUACCACCAGUGUUAGUCCAGUCAGCACAACCUCCUCAACUUUCAGUAGAUACGAGCAAACCUCCACCUCCCUUGCCGGGUUUCAUCAAGGUGCCUAAUGGUGUAAAAAGGAGUGCAUCAGAACCAGAAGGAUAUAUGAAUUUGUUCUCAGCUGGACCAUCUAAAACGAGAAAAACUGACACCGUCACUGCUGCGCCUCCUUGUACAGCUUGUGUCCAGUGGGAUGCAAGAAGCUCCAUGUUAGACGAGGAAAUCCAGAAAUUGGUGACUGAAGAAAAAUCAAAGGCGCUUGUUAUAAAAAAAUACAAGAAGGAGUUAGAGGUGCUAACAAAUUUUUUGAAAUCCUACAACACUUUAAACCUGAAUCCAGAGCUGGAGCCAGAAAUUGAGGAAGAAUUGCCGACUUCUUCCUCAAGUUCUAUUUCUACUGCCGAUAUAUUGGUAAACAUUUUAAAAAAACGGUCCCAGCCAAGUUCGCUCACAAUGGACGAUGAGAGCAAACUGAAACUGUUUCUUGAAUCAUGGCGGCCGAAGGAAAGCGAGUUCAAUUUUCCGCCGCCCAAGAGUGGGCUUGCGGAGCCCAGUCGAGUGGAAAGCGUGCCGGGUCCGUCUACGUCAUUUGUGACAUCGCUCACGCAAGCACGGCUCUCAGCCUUGGCUCAGGCGUCGCCCUCAGCCUUGGCUCAGGCGACACCCUCAGCGUUGGCUCAGGCGACGCCCUCUACGCCCUCUGUCGGCGCUCCACCGCCCGCCGCCGCCCUCGUUCAGGCUCCUCCGCCCCCCGCCCCCCUCGUUCCAGCUCCUCCGCCCCCCGCCACUCUCACUCAAGCUCCGCCGCACAUUGCCGCCCUCACUCAGGCUCCACCGCCUGUUCUGCAUCCAGGCUGGGCGCCACAGUUCAACUUCAUGCCACCCAUCAAUCCAAGUUUUCCUACAUUUAACUCAUGGGGAGAAAAUUCAACACCGUCUUUCAGUGAACCGACGGCUCAGUUGGCCGUGCCUAGCACCUCUGCGGGCUUAGCUUCAACAUCACAAAAUAUGACGUAUCAUCAUAACAGACAGUCUUGGUGAAAAAGUGUGGAGUUUACCAAUCAUUUACAUGAGUUACAGAAUACAUAGAAAAGCUACUAAGAGAUGCUGGGACAAGAACACUACUACAAGCAAGCUAUGCUUGUUACAUAGGGCACUAGUCGCUCGUCAUUUAUCCGGUGUGGUGGAGUAAUCCGGUUUACGACGCUCGCUUACGCUGUGCCACAACUAAGGGUUACGAAAAAUUAACUUUUUUUUCAUUAUCCUAAAUAAGUAAUUAUAUAAUAUUACUUGAUUAUAAUAAUAUAUUUAGGUAUAUAUGUUUAUCGCGUAGAAACACGACACAACCUAUCUUCACUUAUGUGUUGGUACGUAGUAUUGCUGCUAAAGUAUUUUAAAGAUGCUGAAGAGUUUUUAAAUUAAUUACAUAAAUAAACAUAGUGAAAGAUGUAGAUUUAGAUUGAACGUAGACGUAGUUGCACAUGGAUGAAUUUUAAAUUUUUGUAAGGGCAUAACCCUUACAAAAAUUAAAAUUUUCUAUAAACCCAGUUUAAUUAGGUAUUAAUGUUUUAUUUUGCGUUAGACAGAUUGAUCAAAUUGAUGCAAAAAGGCUCAUCAAAUUAUUACAAAAGGUACCUAGUCACUAAAGUUCUAUCUUUUUUAAUGAUUCAAAAAGUUGGCUCUAUUUGGGUUAUAUUAUAAAAAAAAUUGUGGCAACCCCAUACUUAUUUAUCAGCACAUUAAAAAAGUGCAAUAUUUGUUGUAGUUUUCGACUUAUAUAAUAGAAAAUAAUAAAAAUAAUAGAAAAAAUAAUAGAAUCUUUGGAUAAAUCUUUGUAGGAAAUUCUGUUAGUAACGGAACAAGUAAUGUUAUAUAAAUUAGUACAACAGUCGAGUGCAUCAAAUCUAUAAUAAUUUUGACAGUUACAUUACUUUUUAUGUCACAGAUUCUUAUAAAAUAAUUUUAACAAAGAGUAACAAGACUAAAAAUUUAAUCACAAUAUAUACAGAUGUAAUAUAAAAUAGACGGAAAAUAAAUUACUAUUCAUAAAAACAAUAUUUUCUAUAUAAAAUUUAAAAAAUUUGCAAGUAAUAGCUUUAUGUUUAUGAAAUUGAAAUCAUUUAUUUGCUGGAAUAAGAUACAUUUUUAUAGGUGUUACUUUACAACAAAAAUAGGCCAAUCUUAUUCUGCCACACUGUAGGCGUGCAAAUAUAAAAACUUAUUAAACAAAAAUAAAAAUAAUUUCAUCAUAUAUGUUUAUCAUAUGUUUGAGCUUAACAGAUAAUGCGACUGUAGCAAAAAAUUAUAGUUAAAUGUUAACUGUCAAAAAUUAUAGUUAUCUGUUAAAUGUUGAAAUAUUACAAAUUUGAACUUAACUACUAAUUUAAAAACUGACGUUAAUAAAUUUUGAUGCACAUGGCUGUUAGGCUAAGCUAAAUAAUUAAGAGAUCGUUCUUACUAAGAAUUGAAACUUUAAGAUCUUUGUCAAAUUUUCUCAUAUAAGGUAUUCUGAUAAUAUAUAUUCAAUAAUUAAGUUACAAUUGUGUGUUGUUUACUAUUAACAAGACAUUGUUAUCAUUUUAAAACAAUUUACAUGAAAGUACCCCAAGGGUUAAAUUUAGGGCCUUUACCAUUUACACUGUUUUUUUGUUAAUAUUGGUGCACAUUUUAAUUAUUAUAAUUUCUUAAUUUUAAAGCUAAUUAAAAAUACAUAACUGCGUAGAUGGUUGUACUAAAUUUUAAGAUGAUUUUAAUUUUUAUAUAGGUAUGUUGUCGGCAAUCUGUAUAAUCUGGUAUUAUGUAGAAUACCUAGACAAUGCGUAGAAUACUGAAUGGUUUAGACAAAAUGUAGGAAAUAUUAUGUACUUUGUCUAUGUAUUUUAUACAAAAUCUUUAUCCUGCCGGUAAAGUGUGUACAAGACUAAAGCAGGGAAUGGUUCAACAGUAUAGACAAUUAAAUGAAAAACGUGAAAUGAAAAAAUGAAAAACAGUCAAGAAGUCAAAUUCAAUAUUAUAUCCCGAGUUAUUAAGUAUAUAAGUAUUUUGAUAUUUCCUGUGAAUACUUUAAAUAACUAUUAAUAUAAUCUAACAUAACCUGAAGAUAAAUAUUUUUGAUUGAAAUAAUUAUUAACAAUACCAGCAGUUAUUUUAUACAAUCCGUGAGUAUUUUUUUUAUUGGAUGAAAAUGGAGUGGCAACCCUGCCUGCGCUAAUGGGAUACGCUGGCGGGGCACCAGUGAAGGGUGAUCGAUGAGGAUGAAAAUAGGCCAGUUAGCCCAUCAUGAUGAAUUCAUCAGGAAUUAAUCAUGAUAGUUUCCAGAACCGCGAGGAGGUCGACCUGGUUGGGUAUAUUGCUAGCAAUGGGAUUCUUAGUCUCCAUUACUAACAAUCCCUUUUUCCUCCAAAUCCCUUUCGGGGCAAUGACGUCUAUGCAACUAUUAUUGUAUAGGAUUAUAAAGAGUAAACACAAUACACAGUGAAGUUGGCUUUGAAUAUUUCACAUGUCACAUGCGAAAUUUCAUAUGCUGCGCUAAAUCAUACGUCAAACCAGCUUCAAGGUCACUUCACAAAAAAAGAUGUUGCUGCGUUCAGAUUAAUUCGUGAGGUAUUGGCUACGUUUUUUCGCAGCAAACAACAAAUAGCGAGUUCGACGUUAAGUUAUAAUGGUGAUUUUUGUGAUUGGUUACUGGCGAUAUCACUAUAUAAAAAUAAUGAUUUCAAAAAAGUUAAUUAAAUAUAAUAAUUAUGCCCGAUGUCGAUGGUCAACGAAUUCAUCGCCCAGAAUGCACAUGUAAUGAAUUAAUAGUUUAAGAGACUGUUCAGGAAACUACAUUCGUACAACGUAGUCUGAAAUGGAAUUCGAGAUCAAAAAUGUUUACAAAAGAAUUGCCGUGCCGAAAAAAUAAAUUACUUUAUAUAUAGUCAUAAAUAUGAAAUCGUGUUGCAAUUCUAUGCAUAUAUCGAACAUAUAAUACGAAAUCUUUUAUUUAGAAUAUUUUUUUAAAUAUUACGCAAUACAAGAUUAACUUAUACUUUUUUUUUUUAAAGUAAAAUCUGUAAUACAGCACUUUAAAACAUUUGUCAUAUAACAUUCUUUCUACAUAUUUUUUUUUAUUUGGAUACUAACAGAUCCAAAUAAAAAAUAUUCGUAAUGAUACCACAGAGAUGAUAUAAUUGUGUUAUAUAAUAUAGAGAGAAAAACUAUAUGCCAAGUUGACCAAUCGGUAACGGAUUAGUCCUAUUAAUAUGUUAAAAGCGAAAGUAUAUGUGGAUCGAUGCAUAGAUGGAUGUUUGUUACUCUUUCAAGUAAAAAUUAUUAAAAGGGUUUGAAUGAUAUUUAGUACACAGGUAGCAUAUAGGAUUAUUUAUGUAUUCAUUUACGCGACUAAAGCAGUUGAAUAUAGCUGUUACUAAAUAUACACUCAAAUAAAAUAGAGUAUUAUCUAUCGUUGUGUGUAUAUCAAUUCCAGAAGAUUAAAAUUCAAAAUAAUUACAAUUAAUUGUAUUAUCGGAAUAGACUAAAAAAUAGAUACCCUUAUCAAAUGUGCUUAAUAGGUACACUCAUAAAAAAACAGCACGUAUGACAUUGCGGCCAAAGAAUAAAGUUUAAAAAUUUAAUGUAAUGUUUAAAUUGUCUAUAAAAAUGUUGACAAUCACUGAGAGGUUACAUUAAUAAUCACAUUUCUUUAUUUGCAUUUUUGAUCUCCUUUUCAGACUAAUUUCUAUGACAUAUUAAUAUUUUGUUGGUAUGUAAAAAUUAAAUGUAGUGGUACUUUCAUAUUUAUCGACUAAGUACAUUUAAUUUAUAUAUACAUAUUGUAUGUAUAAAAAGCAAUUGAGUAAAGUAAAUAGGUGAUCGAAAGUAUUGUAGAAAGAAAUAGAUGUCGUUCUGUAUAAUCUAUAUAUGACACCAGAAGGCGCCGUGAUCAUAUAAAUAUUAGUAGUAUUUGGGGGCAUCUAUAAAUUUAUAUAUAUAGGAUAGGUUUUGUGAAUUGUUGGUAUAGGGAAAAAAUGUCGUCCACUUGUUACAGGCAUGCCAUGGCAUGGCAAUAGGCAUUGACAUUCUCUAUACGUCAUUAAAUAAGAGUUUUACAUAGGAAGAGGUACUAUGCAAAAUCUAUGGGGUUUUACUUGCGAUUGCCAUUUCUUUUUAAACGAAAUUUAUUCUAUGGAACAAAUUAGAUUAAAAUGAACCUGAAAACAAAAAUCUGAAUAAUUUUUUGGUUAUUGUCAAUAAAUAACUUUGGUUUAUUAAUGAAAAACUUAGUUGAUUAUUAUUAAAAAUAAAUUGAUCAAAACUUUGGUACAUUAUACACGUGUUAUAUAGAAUGAUAUCUAUUUAUUUCUACAAUGUUUACGAUAUAGUUUAAGCAAAAUUCUAUGAUUUAUGAAUGAUUUCGUGAUGUAUGUACUUAGCUCUGUCGCUAUUAUACAUUACCUACUAGUACAUUUUAAUAUUUUGCAAGUAUUUAAUUAUAUUGUUGAAGAUGGAAUUGUGCACUCUUCUAUGUUAACGGUAUACAAAGGCUUGACGAAUUCACUGAGAAUUAACCACGAUGGUAUCCAGGGACGAUAGCGUGAAGGUCGAUUUGAGAAGAUAUAUUGCUAGCGAAGGCGAUGCUAAUUCCCAUUGCCCACAUUUUGGUGAAAAAAGUGAUAUGAGUAUCAAGUGCAAACUGACGACAUAUAGUGCGCAGACGAAAUAUUGUGUAAUGAACUCAUCUAAAUGUAUAAAUUACUUGUAAGUUACAUAAUACUUAGUAGUGAUAAUUCAAUGCUUCAACUUAAUGUUAUAAUAAUAACAAUGUCAAACAGCAAGAUUAUUAUUUACAAAUAUUUCAUCAUCACUGUAAUAUAACUAGAUCGACUUUAAAUAUCGAUUUUAUUUUCUGUUUUACUGUGUUUUAUACAUAUUGACAUAUUGAAUUUUUCCGGUAACUCGUGCGGCAUUGUAUUUUUUUUAGAAAUGUACAUUUUUAAUUGUGCUUUUUAAUUAUGCUUUUUAAAUUUGCUGACUUGUAAUAUUAUUAUUUCGCUUUAAUCUUUAUUUAGAUUAUUUAAGAUCUGUAUGCAUAUAGUAUAUAGUAUGAUAUAGUUUUUAAAAAUUUAAUAUAAUUACUUAAACAAUCGUAUCGCUAGGGUCCCGUAGUCAGUGGUUAAAAGGGAAGCUUUAUAGGUAAUUUUCAUACAUACAUUUAAAUUAUAUAAUAUGGAAAACUCAUAAGAAUUCAUCUGAUGUUAUUAAAACAGGUCUCAGCGAUAAUGUUCUAACAAUUGUUCAUCCAUGUAAUAUUACCCGAUACAGGCCUAAAAAAGAUUAUAAAUAGGAAUAUUUACCUCUAGGCUCUUCCAACUAUGUACAGAUAUAUGUAGUAAAAAUUGCAACUCAUACCUACUUGUUCUAGUCAACAGUAAAGUAAAUAUUUGUAGAAACAUGAGCAGCCGAUUAAAACUUAUAUAUAAUUCAACUACGGGAUCCUAAUAAAGCGACUCUAAUUUUAUUUAGUUUUUAAUGUCCUUAUAUAAAAUUACUAUGUAAGAUAAAGUUUUGAGGAGUUUACGAUACUAGAACUAUGUGGAAAUUUUCUAAGAAAACAUGUUGAUUAUAAUUAUCUCUGUGGAG